CCUGGAGAUGAAUUGGCUCAGGAAAGAUGAAGUAAACUUUCGAAAGUAGCCGACGAGAGAGGACAAAGUAGAAGAUGUCAUGUUUUGGCGGGGACAUGUAUUAUUCAUGCAGUCAGUGGAGACGUGGCUGAAAUCACGGGAGUUUGGCUUGGACCCACUGCCGCUCAGAUUCAUCCAUCUCGACUUUUGCUGGAGCGCUUGCACUCAUUAGUCACCCUGGUGAGCUGGAGCCUAUCACAGCUGACUUUGGGCGAGUGGCAUGCAGUCCAGACAGAGCCCCCAAAACGCAGGCAAACCCAAGAACAUGAUGCUGGUUUUCCGUCUAGUUCCGAGGCAGCAUCCUGAGUCACAGACGGAGUUCU